UAUCUAUUCUAUCUAUAUCUUGAUUCUAUCAUAGUUUUUUUAUAAAUAUAUGGAAUAUGGGCAUAUACACAUAGAGUCAAUUGAUAUCUACAUUCCAAGUUCCCCUUUGGAUGUUUAGGUACAAAGUUCUAAAGCCAGAGUUAUUCAUACUUCUAGGUUUGUCUCUUUCUAACACUAACCUUCCAUGAGAUAUUAUACUCUAUUUCUGCAUGUAUCCAGAAGCAAUCUUAUAUUGAUUAGGUUGAAUAGUAUCUUACCUUUCUCAUGAAAAUUUGAGACUGGUCUGUAAACCAACCUUCUUCCUUAUGUUACUGGAUAGGUUUGAAAAUGAUAAUGUAUUUGACAGCCAAAGGAAAAUUAAAGGAAAUAUUACUCACAAAGCAGUUGAUAGAUCCUCCAACAUAUACCAAAUACACUAAGUAGUAGAGGGUUUCCAUGGAUUCAAUCAUUUCCAGAAAAGAAGGCUUCAUGACAUGUAAUGAUUACUUAGGAAGGUAAAUGUCAUCACUCUGAACAUCCACCCUUCCUGUAUCUUUCUUUAGCUUUUAUUGAUGAGCACAGAAUGAUGUGGCCUGGGAUAUCUGUUUGUUCACUUGGGGUGGUCUGUCUCCAUGGUGUCCCCUCCCAUAUUCUUGUGCACUUUCAGCUUACACUGGUGGGGUAAGGUGAGAAACAGAAAAGGCCUUGACUCCCUAUAAACGCUGCUCAACAAUAGUAGAAGUCUUGGUAUACUACCAGCACUUGUUUGGUCACAGGUGCUAACAAUAGGCCCACAGAACCUUCUAUGAAUAGAAGUAACUCUAUUCCACCCCAAACCAGGACACAAACACAAUCCGCAGAGAUCAAGGGGAUGUUGUGGUGCAGGGUACAACUGCUGUUGUUUUAGGAGACCCCUCUAUGGCAGAAAGACCUUUGCCCAACUCAUCAGUUGUCUGGCAUUUCAGAGCAUCAUACCUAUUGCAGAAGACACCAGUCCUACCAGUCAAAUUCUGAGAAGAAUGAGGAAUCUCGCUCCUGCUCCUUCACCUGGUGACACAGCUCCUCAAACACAGCACAUCUUCUGCAGAAGAACUGUUUGCUGGCCCCAGCCUUAGGAAGAGGCAUCAGGCAUUCUGUGACUGGAGAGCUCCAUCCUACCAUGGGCAGGUCUGGCUGGCUGGUGGUCUUGGACACAGCUAUUUCAGUGACUCUUGCAGCUACUUGGGUUGAUUUUUAGGGUAUGUCAACACCAUAACUCAGGAAGAUUAAUCUGGUAUGCCUGUAAGACUGGGGCUAAAAGGAUCUCUUUGCUCUUCCUUACCAGCUACUGAGUCUAUUGCUGCCUCUAUUGAGUCCUCUCCAAUGGUCAGAGAGGAGCCCUUGCUGCUCAUCCUGCCUGCACAAACUGCCCUGGACCACUCUCACCAAUAUGCCACAUGCCUGCUUGCCUUGCUCCAGGUCACUCACAAUCCCUGGAGUCAUUUAAAUCACCCUCAGCUGCUCCUGGCACCGCCCCCUCCUCACCUGAUCACCUGCCAAGGGCUUCCAGAUCGUGAUGAGGCUUGGGGCUGCUGGACCAGUUCCUGAACUUGGGAACUCCCCCUAUAAAGCUCAAUCGUAGCCCUGGUUCUUCAGUCACAGCCACUUGAGCUUCACCAACUGAGCUCUUAAGCUCUACCUUCUAAAGAGGAAACAAAAUUUCCUUUCUGCUCCUCUAGGACAGAAAGAGAUUUUUACCACUAUUUAUAAGAAAGUGAACUCAGUGCAUAGCAGUCAAUGUUGUGUUUGUGUGACAGCAACAAUGAGCUCAGAAAAUGUUUGGGGAAAACACAGAGGUAAAAUUGAGAAGCAGUUGUGUUAUUAGACCUAUGUGAAAUAGGACUCUGUGGAAAUGGCAUGAUGUAGAAAGGCCUGAGCAGCCCUUGCUACCAAUUUAGCAACAUUUUUAUUCUAGUGCAUGAUCUAGAGAUUAUAAUUAUGCCUAGUCUGUGUAACAUUGUCUCAUCCUUUGUGCCUACUUAAAAACCUUUUUAGCACUGAGA